rnacentral:lncRNA from 1 species
ACCGAUUCAUUUCUCAAUGGUGUCGAGCGGUUUCUAAACUUUGCAUUCUCAGAGUCAAUUAUGACUCGUGAAGAUGGAAAAAUUAAAUGCCCUUGUAGUAGUUGUUGUUGUUUAAAUAAGGAAGUUAGAGAUAUAAUGACAGUUCAUCUUUACAAGUCCGGUUUUAUGAGUGAUUACACUAAUUGGGACCGACAUGGAGAACCAAGGAAAAGAGUACGUGUAGAUGAAUGCAUCACUAUAAAUGAUGUUGAAAUGGUCGAUGAUGAACGUAUUAACACUAAUCCAUUUGUCGACAUGGUCCACGAUGCAAGUAGACCAUUUGAUUUACAUGAUGAAGAACCGAAUGAUGAAGCC